GGUUGAAGAACCAUGCUCAAAGGAGAAGGCGAGAUCUGAGAAGCCCUUGCGACAGGCUUACCUGAAAAAACAAAACAAAACAAAACAAAACAAAACAAAAUAAAAAAAUAGCUGCAAUGUAAAGAAGAGCAUAGCAGAACAUUCCCUAGCACCCAGGAGACAGAAGAAACCACGUUAGCCGAGCCAGUCACUAUUUCCAGCAGCCCGCACGGUUUUAAAGAAACGUGUGUGCAUUUAUACAGACUUGUCACACAUAGAUGUCAAUCCAAGGAGGCUGUCUAUGAUUUGACGAGGCUGUAAAACCAUUCUUUAGCAAAUGUUUGUUGAACCAAAGCACACCGCGCCCUAACCCCACACUGGCUCCCGUCCCAGGAGGCCUGUCCCCGCUAUUAUUCCACGCGUCUCUGUGAUGAAGCUGCUGAACAAGCACCCACGUUCCUUAAGGUCAUUUUGGGAGAGCAGUUGGUUGAGUGACUGAAGAUGUAUCAAGCCAUAGACUUUAAAAAAAUAAGCGUUCUCACCUCGCUGUGCAUGUGGAUUCACAACCCACUUCAUGUGGAUUCACACCCACUUCUUGUGGAUUCACACUCACUUCAUGUAGAUUCACACCCACGUCCAGAUUCGGGUCUCUCUAUUGUCUUUGCACAUGAUCAGUCCAUCUCAGAGCCCCUCACUGUCUUA
rnacentral:lncRNA from 1 species